rnacentral:rRNA from 1 species
AGAGUUUGAUCCUGGCUCAGAACGAACGCUGGCGGCGCGUCUUAAACAUGCAAGUCGAACGAUCUGUAGCAAUACAGGGAGUGGCGGACGGGUGCGGAACACGUAGGAAUCUACCUUGAAGAGCGGGACAACUUUGGGAAACCGGGGCUAAUACCGCAUAGUACAGAGAUGUUAAAGGGCUAGCAAUAGUCGCUUCGAGAUGAGCCUGCGGUCUAUCAGCUUGUUGGUGAGGUAAUGGCUCACCAAGGCUACGACGGAUAGCCGGUCUGAGAGGAUGAUCGGCCACACUGGCACUGAGACACGGGCCAGACUCCUACGGGAGGCAGCAGUUAAGAAUCUUGCGCAAUGGGGGAAACCCUGACGCAGCGACGCCGCGUGAAGGAUGAAGGCUUUCGGGUUGUAAACUUCGGUAGACUGGGAAGAAGAAAUACGUUCGUUGAGGGCGUAUAGUGACGGCACCAGUCUGAAGCCCCGGCUAAUUACGUG